rnacentral:rRNA from 1 species
GGGGAAUAUUGGACAAUGGACCAAGAGUCUGAUCCAGCAAUUCUGUGUGCACGAUGACGUUUUUCGGAAUGUAAAGUGCUUUCAGUUGGGAAGAAAAAAAUGACGGCACCAACAGAAGAAGUGACGGCUAAAUACGUGCCAGCAGCCGCGGUAAUACGUACGUCACAAGCGUUAUCCGGAUUUAUUGGGCGUAAAGCGCGUCUAGGUGGUUAUGUAAGUCUGAUGUGAAAAUGCAGGGCUCAACUCUGUAUUGCGUUGGAAACUGUGUAACUAGAGUACUGGAGAGGUAAGCGGAACUACAAGUGUAGAGGUGAAAUUCGUAGAUAUUUGUAGGAAUGCCGAUGGGGAAGCCAGCUUACUGGACAGAUACUGACGCUGAAGCGCGAAAGCGUGGGUAGCAAACAGGAUUAGAUACCCUGGUAGUCCACGCCGUAAACGAUGAUUACUAGGUGUUGGGGGUCGAACCUCAGCGCCCAAGCAAACGCGAUAAGUAAUCCGCCUGGGGAGUACGUACGCAAGUAUG